AAGGGUUGUCAUCAACCCCGGAGAUAACCAUCGAUGGCCGAACGUCUCAACUAUUUCAUCACAGAAGAGCAUUGUUUUUAGUUCGCACAUCUUCUCUUUUCACAUUUCUUUUCUCUAACCGCGUUGUUCGGUGCCUAGUUCGGGGUAGACGUCGAUUUUCUGGGGGUGAGACGUUCCUGAAGAACCACCCAGUAAGCCGGCUAUACUCGAAGCGCCGACAGUGAACUCUCCUGGAAUUUCGCUAUGUGGUAUCUGCCGUUGCCUGUGCCCAACCUACCCCCCGCCACGGUCGCUACCCCUUAUUUUCUCUGCCCCCAGCAACCCCUAUCGUCAGUUGGGGCGUGUUGAGGUGGAUGGUUGGACCUGACCGAUCGUUUGCCAACGCGUUGUUUCGAAUAGCGUGAGAUAUGGUGCAUCGGUUACGUUCGAACGAUGUUAUCGUCAGGUGUGGUAUGGAUCUGACAAGCAAUGCGAACCACGAGAAGUGCGUUCAAUUUUUCAAGAAAAUGGUUUAGUGCGCCCUGUGAUAUAACGCGUUCCAAAAUUCCCAGCAAAAGGAGAAUAAAAAUAAUUGACUUGAGAGAAGAAAAUAUAAAUCGGUUUCUCGGAUUGACCUAGAGCUUAGUUGUUUCUUACCCUCGGCGACGCUCUUAACCCGGGGGUGGAGACACCCCACCGUUAGAAUUAUCGUGAAUGUUUUGUCAGAGGGGAAAAGAUUCCCCGAUUUUGCGAGGGUCUGAAAGAAAUAAGAAUUUAUUCACCCUGCUUCGGUCUCAUCAUGCAGGUAAAGUCUCAAUGAUGAUCUGCCAGAUCAACUUUCCCUCUUCCUGUGCUUGGAACAGACGCUGACGAUAUGGACACAGUAUGGCCUCAGCACUCCGGCAUGCCUCUGGGAGUAGUUUGGUUUUACCUGCCUUCCUUCUGCUACUAUUUCCGCGUGCCAGUACAGCCCGCGAAGUAAUCGAUGUACCACUAUCACAGCGAGACUACGUUCCUUCUCUGCCGCCGCCACCGGGGCCAUUCACUACUGCGAAAACGACAAAGUGUGACCAGACGUUUGCAAGUAUUCCUGAGGGCCCGCAGAACGGGACGUUUACAGCUCCAACCUUGAUCAACCCUGAGGGUGAUUCUCGACAGUGCGUUUAUACAUUUCUUGCUGGACCUGAACAACGGGUCGAAAUUGUGUUCACCUCGUUUGGUCUUCGUGGUAUGCCCCCUGAUGGCGCAGCGGUUGGCGAGUUACCAGCUUGUGUUCACGAGUAUAUGGAUGUGUACACGGAGGUACAAUCGGGAAAUCACAGCAAGCUGAUAGAGUCGCCUUUCGGGGGCAGAUAUUGCGGCCCUAUUCCUCCAAGAACGCGAGUGUCCCUCUACCAUGGAAUCGCGCUCAGUUUCUAUACUGAUAAAAAUGUUACCCUGCCUGACCUAUUCACUGGUUACUACACUUUCAUCAACGACUCUGAAUAUGAGGUGGGGACUCCAGCUCCAAGUGCACCAUGCACAUUUACGGUGGAUGCAGAUAUUAAACGCACGGGAAAUAUAUUGUCCCCCACUUAUCCAGGUGCUUAUCCUAAGGACCUUACCUGCAGUUACCAGUUUAUUGGACAACCCAGUCAAAGAGUUCGCCUCGAAUUCCGUGACUUCGAUUUGUUUUUCGGCGGGCCACACUGCCCUUUCGACUAUGUAAAAGUAUAUGAUGGUGCCGAUAACACCUCGGCUGUUAUUGGUACAUAUUGUGGGCAGCAACGAAACUUGGUGCUUUACUCAUCUGAGUCCAGCCUCUUUGUUUUAUUUGUCACGCUUCAAAGAACAGCCAACACACAAAAUCGCGGGUUCAAGGGUAUUUUCGAGUUCUCUGAAAGUUUUGUGAAAUUAGAUUUCAUUAAGGAUGAUGGCGAACACAUUCGUGGUUCAGAAUGUGAUCAAAAGAUAUUGAGCAGAAAGGAAUCUUCGGGCUUUGUUUUCAGUCCAAAUUAUCCUUUUCCAUAUAUUCCUAAAAUAGUAUGCCGAUACUUCAUAUAUGGAAUGCAAGAUUCCCAGCAUUUAGAACGUGUGAGACUCGAGUUUCACAAGUUUGAUAUACCCAAGGGGCAAGCAAAAGGAGACUCCGUUUGUACAGAUGGAUAUCUGAAAAUAUAUUUGAAAGGGCAGGAAGCAACGGAUUCCUACGACAAAUUCGACCAUGAGUUAUGUGGGGGAGGAAGCAAACCGGGCAAUGUAGUUAGCGAUGGACCACGUCUUGUCAUGGUUUUCAGUAGUGGUGAACUUCAAGGCAAUGGAUUCAAAGCCGAAUACAGAUUUGAAACUGAAUAUCGGAUACCUGGAACCGCAGCUCCAGACGGAACCUGUUUGUUCACGUAUCGCAGUUCCUCCCGUAAACGAGGAGAAUUUAACUCUCCGCGAUACCCAAGCAAUUAUCCUAGCGAUACCAACUGCACUUAUCUAUUCUUAGCGACACCUAACGAACAAGUUACAUUAGUAUUCGAUCAUUUUAAAGUUAGAGCAGAUAAUGCUAAUUCUACGGUGGGAUUUUAUGGGAUUCAUAUUUGCCAAGAAGAUUGGUUGGAGAUAUACAAUAUGUAUAGAGAUAACACAGAGAAAUUAAUCGGACGAUACUGUGGCAUGACUGCGCCUGGUCCAGUAGAGUCCAACUUGGGUGCUCUGGGCCUUAAAGUUGUUUUACAUUCAGAUUCUGAGCUUGUGUAUAGCGGAUUCAAAGCUCGCUACACAUUUGAUGUCGCAAAAUCUAUUUUUGGAGAUUGUGGAUCCAAUAUCAGUAGUUUGGAUUAUGGGAUGAUUACAAGUCCGAAUUUUCCAAACAAAUAUGAUGGUCCUGCGCGUAAUUUGGCCAGCAAAACCUGUAAUUGGUUUAUAAGUGUCAGACCAAACCAUCGAAUACUACUCAAUUUUGAACUAUUUUCUGUAGAAGGCGAGCAGUCAGCGCGAGGUUGCCCUGCAGCUGUAUUACGUAUGUGGCACACAAUGUCGACCCCACCGCUAGAGUUGUGUGGUGUCAAAAGCCCUGAUUCCAAGUGGAGUUACGUCUCCGAGGAUAAUAACAUGCGACUCAGUUUCAUUUCGGCAGACAAAGCAGUAGGUCAACAGGGUUUCAGAGCGGUCUGGACAGAGGUAGCCAUGGACAGUGAUUGUUCGGAUCGAUUUGUUUGUAUCAUGAGCAAAUAUUGUAUUACUGAAGAGCUUCGCUGUAACGGAAUUAACAAUUGUGGACCAGACGACUCCUCUGACGAAGAAAACUGUGCCAUAGUGAUACCUGCAGACAGCUAUGCAGUACCAGCAGGCUGUGCUGUGGGUGCCAUUCUGAUAGCACUACUGCUUUGUCUUUUGUGUCAUCGGCAGUUGAAAAGACGUCCACAAGAAGUUCAUAUUGACGACUUGCAGCAACGCGUUGAAGAUCAACAUCAUUGUCACCGCCACCACAGACUUCUUCAUCAUCAUCAAAGCCAAGGCCAUAGUCAUAAUCACAGUCAUAGUUUUAAUCAGCACCACUUUCAACAAACAAGUCCUACUAGCGAAAGUGAAGUGGAGCAUGUUUGUGGCGAUGAGGCCAGCAGUCCGGACAGUGUGUGACCGUGGAUGUUUGCAGCAUGGUUGAGGUUGUUGCAUCCGCCACAACCCCCCACGUUGCUCUUCCUAAUAUGUAACUUGUUGUUGUUGUUACUGUUGCCUAACAAAGGUAACUUAAUCAGCGCCAUCAGCAAAAAUCACUGUGCGCAUUGACCUCCCUGAAACUUAACCAAUGAGCCAACGCACUAGCCAUGCAUCAAGUAUAGUUAUUACAAACCAUACUCUGUAUAAUGUUAUAAAUAUAAAAUAGUGUAGAUAUACAUAUAUUUGACUUAUAGCUAAUAUGAUCCAAUUACUUCGAUUUUACGUCAUUCAUAUUCAUUGCCUAACAAACAAAUCUGUGUUCUACGCCUUGGCAUAGGUAUAUGUGAAGGUAUUAUAAUACUAGCUUCUGGUAAAAAACAGCUACCUCUUGGGCAACCAUGUAUUACCACAUGCUCAUCGCUUCUCUUUUAUGGCGAAACAUUCCUGACUACUUUUGCAUUAUCAACAAUAAAAUGCCAUUGUGACGCUGUGAUCUGAUUCCUGGUGUGGAUCACUGUAUAAAUCAACUUAUGUUUGCGUAGAAUCGGAGUACAACCAAAUAGUUAUAAGGGUGUGUGUCGGUCUAAUCUUAAGGGUGUAGAAGCGUAAGGUCUACGGAAGCAUAAAUACUGUCAUUCACUAACAUAGACGUAAGAGCGUAACUUAUACACAUACAUACAUAUAAUAGUAAGUCGAAUAAGCAACUAAUAUUUGACUUCGUCCCGGCGUAACAAUUUUCUAAUUUUAAGUAAAAUAAUACUCCAGAACAGAAUGAUAAGUCUGAGUCAUGAAUGCAUGAAAGUUUUGCUUGCUAAUAUAUUUUUGUGCAUGUGUUUAAUCGACAGAGUAUAACUACAUAUUCAUAAUACAGUAAAGAAUUUUGUUACUUUUACAUACGGAACGUACUUCUUUAUAAUUGCAUACUCUUGAAUACGUAUGAGACUUAAUUUUUAAGGGCAUACCACGUGAAUGGCUGCAACACCAUUCUGGCGUUAAAUAAAUUGAUGAAUAAAUCAAGAUUACGAAAUAAGCAUAGUAAUGAGAUAUUGGUUUUGUUUUGCUUCGUCAGCAAGAACAACAUAAAUACAGUUGUUAACGAGAAUCUAACGUUUUACGGCUCUUUCGGUGUGUUGCAGUUUUAUUAUUCACAUUAAAUAUGAAAAAUUCCUAUCGAUGAAAUUCUGUCAUCUCGAUGUUUGGACCGAUUAUAAAUUGCAGCAGACAUUUCUUGCGUGUAUCAUUGUCGAUUCAUUAGUCCUGCAUCUUCUAAUCGAAGCUUGUUUAUGAAUACAUGGAGACAGGUAGUUAUGCGUGAACAGGAGAGAGGGAAGGGGGGGACCGCCAAUUGCCAAUUCUUGAAAGCGUAAAAUUAAGAUGUCUAGAAUUUGAUAGUUGAUACACUUAAAUAUAUAUUUCACGAUAAAUGCUGCCAUUGGAGCUAUACCAAAGAAUAUUCUAAACUAUUAUAAAUAAAUCACAACACACGUGUAUAUACACUGGAUAUACCUAGAAUGAAAUAUACAUAUAAAGUAACUGACAACGCAUGAAUCGAUAUUUGAAGUAAUACAAUCUUAUUACAUACCUACGUUACGUACAUAAUAUGACGAUUAUGGCACAGAAUUCUAGCUCAAUGACUCGCAAAAUUUGUAUUAUAGUAUUCGUAGUUUAUGACGAAUUAAUGAAUAAAAAAUAACAUUUCAUGAAUGCGAUUCUCAUUGUAAUUAACAUUUAGUGAACAUUUGAGCAAAGAAGGGGCAACCGCUCCAAAUUGUCUCACAUAUGCAGAUCUGCAGAAUAAUUAUUUGAAACUCGCCCCAAUUACGCCCGAUUUGUGCAACUCCGAUUAUUCAUCAAAACUUUGAAACACAAAUUCAAAUCAAAUACAUCGCUAUUGUAUCCGCAGCUACUAGAUAUCAUUGGAAAACGUAUGGAUCAAAUAUCAGAGAUUAACAUUCAAAGUUCACUUUUAACGGUAUAGAACUCUAAUUACAGGUAUGUCAUCAAGUGCAAUGUGAAUUCUAUCGGAACACUCGGAAACAUAUGCUGUGUUAUAGCAGUAUUGAAUUAUAACAAUGAAUCGGACCAUGCUGGUAUACAUGUAUAAUUUCAUUACAGGAGAGAACAGGUCACAGUAUGAUGGGUACUAUGUUGAAAUUCCUGUAUCAACUGUAGAUUUAAAUCGGGUCUCAUCGCUCCAAUCUGAACGCUUAUUCUUUCAAACUCACAAUCAGAUGCAUUAUCUCAGUAGUUAAUAUUCUGCGGAGACACAGCAUUUCAUAAUUGUAUAAAUAACAGUAAUUAAAAAGCUGAAAUUUAAAGGGACAUAUAAUACUCACAUGUACCUAUACGUACCAUAGAUUCAAUGGUGAGAGCAAUAGUGGUUUGAUGGGAUUGCUAGGCCAAGUCUGGGAUUAUAAUUUUGUGAUAAAAAUAUUGCAGCACAAUUUCCGGAAGAGUCAUAUAAUCUAUUUCUACUUUUGAACGACCUGAUUUCUUUCUUAUCUCAAAAAUAGCAAUCGUGAUAUCAAUCCGUCAAGUUAAUUUGAAUAAGCUUCUGUCGAAUGCACCCUUUUGUGUUGUACUAAAUGUUAUACAUAUGCAUUAAACUAUACAGUGUUACGUGUAUAUAUCAUCAUGCUAGCAGGUUUAGCAUUGAUGCAGAGCAACACAAUAAUAUAUUUACUGUUGACAAGUAAAAUUUAUACUUUGUUAAACUUCUUCCUUCGAUUACACAAGAUAAACUAAUUCUAAAAAGCCUUAGUGUCAUUUGUUAACGAAAAAGGAUACAUACAUAUUUGUUAUUCUCUUUCUAUUGGCCAGCUAGAAUACGUCAUUACUAAUGAUAUUAAAUGCAAUUACUAAACAUUCUACGAAUUAUUCAUGCAGAAUUUUCUAAUGAUAGAAACCACGAGAACGAUAUUGUAAAUCCAGGCUUAUGGGCAUUUCUCUGGUAGCAAGCUAAGCUUGAUAUAUCCCAGACUCGGUCUUUAACCACGCGUACGUAUAACUGUAAUACCAGUUCUACAUCGCUCUAUACAGUGUAGAAAUAAUUGUUACAUGCAAGAAUAUACGCAUAAGUAAUCAAAGGAUACUCUUGCCUGCCAAAUCGCUGUUUUGAGUAGUUUUAAUUGAUCGAUAUCAUUGAGUGCUGAAUGCAAUUGAGUUUUCAACAGAAUCACGCUACUUAGUGAUUCAAGAUCAUUAGGAGGUGAACGCGGCAAUGAUAAAGAAGUGAUUCAUGAGUCUGGACGUUCUGUUUCCGGCUGAUAGGCUUAUGAAGCCAAAGAACUGAUCGUGAAAUCGACUCUGAAAGAUAUAGGCUUUCACGAGAUGGAGGUGCGAUAUUCAAAGUGCAGACUGAAGAUGAUGGUAAAGAAUGAAAGCUAGCUGCUGUGCUCAGCCAUGCCUUGAAACUUUUAAACCAACAGUGUGGGAGAAGAACCGAAUAAAGUGAAACAAUCUAUUGUCGUCACCCGAAUGCGUGUAAAUUUUAGUCAAUUAUCUUCAGAAGAAUCCAUGGAUCUAGGUUU